CCGGUUUUGCAGCCCACAUUCCCACAAUCCACGUUCGCAGCAGUCGAAUUCCCCUUCAUCUUCGUCCCGACUCCCGGGCACGUGAAAAAAAAAACUAACGCCCCGCCGCCGUUCUCACCCGCUUGCGCCGUCAAUAACCCCACACGCUGUCGCCGACCUGAGGGCUGAGGCUGCAGCCCCUUCCGGCUGCUUCGCUGAUGCGGUGAGAUCGGAGCCGCCGUCAGUGGCGGAGAUGACGGCCGCGCAUAGGCGCCGUUCCCUCCCGCUUGCGCCGUCAACCACCCCACGCGCUCUCGCGACGACCUAGGGCAUACCCUCGGUCGCCAGCUCGCCGUCGUCGACCUGAGGUUGGAGCCCCUUCCGGCUGCUUCGCCGGUGCGGUGAGAUCGAAGCCGCCGUCGGUGGCGGAGAGCCGGAGAUAACGCCCACGCAUACGAGCAGCACUGCUGCUACUACGUCGGCACCCGUGUGUAGGAGACGGAGACGGAGACGUAAGCCGGAAGAAGGACGGGAAAAGCCGUGGUUGCCGAGAGAAGGUUAAUUAGCUCCAUCUUUUACCCUACCUUUUACUUAUGAGCUGCUUGUCUGCUCCGUUGAAAACAAGCUACUGCCUCUGGAACGCAGAAAAGGUGAAUCUUAUCUUGCUUUUUUUUCUGACAUUUCAAAUAAAUGGCAGGCCUGCAUAUAGGAACAGUUGUAGCCUGUCUUUACUCAGUGCGUACUGCAAAAAUAGCUCAAGCCGACUUGGAUUCACCUAUCACCUCUUUCAGUGAAUAAAUGAAAUGCAAACACAUCUAUGAUUCUUAACAUAUUUCUUAGUUCAGGUGAUGGCAAUUGUCAGGUUUGUGAUUUUCUUAAGGCAGAAUUAUAUUCACUUGAUCUUGUGAAGUUUGUACCCGUAUGUUCAUGUAACAUAUGGUUAUUUGUUGUCUUGUAGUUUCGUGCACUCAGAAAAGCUAUAUCGUUCACCCGAGUAUCACCAGCUUGUUCGUAAAGAGAGAGUGAACCAGAUCUGGUGGAUGGGAAGACCAUGUCACAUUCAAGCAGCUGCUGAUAAGGUACUGACAAAAGCACAAGUAUUCUGCAUAUUGACAUAAAAAAAUAGUAGUGAACAGCUCAACAACAUAUUAUUGCCCUUGUCGAAUGCCGGGUCCAGCCACUGAAGGCUUGGGCCUACCCGAUGUGCAGUUGCCUGUUUGCCAAGGACGUCACUCGGGAAUCAAGUGUAGAACCAAGGGAUGAGGCGGUGAAAACCGGGUGGCUCUACUGGUCAUCACCGGGACCAGCAUGGACACCUCUACUCACCGCUCCCCUUAAGCAUGACAUUCGAGCCCAAUCUGGUGAGUCAUAAAUGCUACAAUAGUUUUAUUUCUUUAUGCCAAGUCUUCCAUAUUAUGCUGGCCAUUGGGUGAUUUUUUAGCAGGGCAUCAACAUGUACAACUCUCCCGCUCCCCUUGAGAACGAGCCAUGGAACCGUCCAGGGUACGGUGUUUCCAUUCGGCUCCCGAAUAGCGCCCGGUCUUGGUGUGCCGGGCCAGCCAACAAGGAUGACGACCUGGCCAUCGCCGACCCAAAGCAGAAGGCCCCAUAUGUGGGCCCUGAGGGGCAUGGCUACACUGCAUAUGUAUAAAGUCAGGUUCAAAAUCGGUCGGAAAGAAAUCGCCUCGGCUACCUGCCGCCGGCAUGAGGUGCGGCGGGGUUUGGCGAAAGGACCGGAUCCGGUGAGGCGGUGGCGUGAGGUGCGAUCUAACAAGGCCACGAAGACGCAACAUGAGCGGGGUGAACAACGUGUUGUGCUGCCAGUCCCGGUGGCGGUGAGUGAACUGAUGCAUCCUCACCACUUAUUUCUCGCCCACUGACCCCCACAUGCCGUCCACUACGUCUCUAGGUUCAGAAAAUCAACUUCCUCAUUCUCUCUGAAUCAAUCAAUCAUAUCGGUGGUGCUGGUGUUUUCAUUCGGACUGAUGCAUAUUUGUGUAUGUGCAUGUAUGGUAGCCUAGUCGAUAUUCUUUAGAAAAUUUGGUCAUCCUCUAUGUUUGAUAGAAAAUUGAUAUCUUGCAUUUGUGGAUGUUGAAUAGCAAAUUGGCAUUUUAAUGCAAUUUGCUUCUGUUCGUGCAAACAAAGAACAGAAUGAGCAUGCAUGCAGUACCAUA